CAAGGAACGGAAAUGAGCCG
rnacentral:miRNA from 1 species